UACGAAGGUGGCUAGCGUUGUUCGGAAUCACUGGGCGUAAAGGGCGCGUAGGCGGCUUUAUAAGUCGGGGGUGAAAGCCUGUGGCUCAACCACAGAAUUGCCUUCGAUACUGUAGAGCUUGAGACCGGAAGAGGUAAGUGGAACUGCGAGUGUAGAGGUGAAAUUCGUAGAUAUUCGCAAGAACACCAGUGGCGAAGGCGGCUUACUGGUCCGGUUCUGACGCUGAGGCGCGAAAGCGUGGGGGGCAAACAGG
rnacentral:rRNA from 1 species